AGAAAUUAUGUGGUUCGGCUUUUAGCCUAUGUCCACGGGCGAAGACAGAAGGGAAAUAUAUCUCUAGUGAAAUAAGGAUUACAAGUAUUGUAAUAUUUUGGCUCACUACCCAAAACCCCAAUACACCCAAUCUCUCACUCACUAAUUACACAAGAGUAUUAAAACUCUUAAUCUCUCACACAACUCUUUCUCUUUUACAAAACAGAGAAGA
rnacentral:lncRNA from 1 species